rnacentral:rRNA from 1 species
AGAGUUUGAUCCUGGCUCAGAACGAACGCUGGCGGAGUGCUUAAUACAUGCAAGUCGAGCGAGAAAGUAGUCUUCGGACUGCGAGUAGAGCGGCGAAUGGGUGAGUAACACGUAAGGAAUCUACCCUCAAAUCUGGAAUAACCUUGCCAACGCGGGGCUAAUACCGGAUGUGAUCCAGAGAUCUCAUGUUCUUUGGAUUAAAGGUGACCUCUUCUUGAAAGUUACCGUUUGAGGAUGACCUUGCGGACCAUUAGCUUGUUGGUGGGGUAAUGGCCUACCAAGGCUGCGAUGGUUAGCCGGCCUGAGAGGGUGAUCGGCCACAUUGGGACUGAGAUACGGCCCAGACUCCUACGGGAGGCAGCAGUAGGGAAUUUUGCGCAAUGGGCGAAAGCCUGACGCAGCAACUCCGCGUGAGCGAUGAAGGUUUUCGGAUCGUAAAGCUCUGUUGAGUGGGACGAAACAUUCUAGUGCUAAUAUCACUAGAACUUGACGGUACCAUUCGAGGAAGCCCCGGCUAAAUACGUGCCAGCAGCCGCGGUAAUACGUAUGGGGCAAGCGUUGUUCGGAAUCACUGGGCGUAAAGGGAGCGUAGGCGGAAGUUCAAGUUGGGAGUGUAAUCUCCGGGCUCAACCCGGAGCUUGCUUCCAAUACUGUUCUUCUUGAGUGUUGGAGGGGGAGAUGGAAUUCCAGGUGUAGCGGUGGAAUGCGUAGAUAUCUGGAAGAACACCAGUAGCGAAGGCGGUCUCCUGGACAACAACUGACGCUGAGGCUCGAAAGCGUGGGGAGCGAACAGGAUUAGAUACCCUGGUAGCCCACGCCGUAAACGAUGGACACUAGAUGUCGGCCCCGUAGGGGGUCGGUAUCGUAGCUAACGCGACAAGUGUCCCGCCUGGGGAGUACGCUCGCAAGGGUGAAACUCAAAGGAAUUGACGGGGGCCCGCACAAGCGGUGGAGCAUGCGCUUUAAUUCGAUGCAACGCGAAGAACCUUACCUGGGCUUGACAUGGGAGUGAAAGUUUCUAGAGAUAGAUUCCUUUCCUUCGGGAACACUCUACACAGGUGCUGCAUGGUUGUCGUCAGCUCGUGUCGUGAGAUGUUGGGUUAAGUCCCGCAACGAGCGCAACCCUCGUCCUUAGUUGCCAUCAGGUAAUGCUGGGAACUCUAAGGAGACCGCCCGGUACAACCGGGAGGAAGGUGGGGAUGACGUCAAAUCAUCAUGGCCCUUACGCCCAGGGCUAGACGCGUGCUACAAUGGCAGGUACAAAAGGAAGCAAUACCGCGAGGUGGAGCUAAUCCAUUAAAACCUGUCUCAGUCCGGAUUGGAGUCUGCAAUUCGACUUCAUGAAGCUGGAAUCGCUAGUAAUCGUGGAUCAGCAUGCCACGGUGAAUAUGUUCCCGGGCCUUGUACACACCGCCCGUCAAGCCACGGAAGAUGGCAGUACCCAACGUCGUUUCUCCAACCUUCGGGAGGAGGACGCCUAAGGUAAGGCUGUUAACUGGGGCUAAGUCGUAACAAGGUA